rnacentral:rRNA from 1 species
GACGAACGCUGGCGGCGUGCUUAACACAUGCAAGUCGAACGGGAUUUAGUAAACAGAAGCCUCGGUGCAAGAUUACUAAUGAGAGUGGCGAACGGGUGAGUAACGCGUGAGCAACCUGCCUAUGACAGGGGGAUAGCCUCGGGAAACCGGGAUUAAUACUGCAUAAAAUUGUAGAAACACAUGUUUCAACGGUCAAAGAUUUAUCGGUCAUAGAUGGGCUCGCUUCUGAUUAGCUGGUUGGUGAGGUAACAGCCCACCAAGGCGACGAUCAGUAGCCGGUCUGAGAGGAGGCACCGCCACAUUGGAGCUGAGACACGGUCCAAACUCCUACGCGAGGCAGCAGUGGGGAAUAUUGCACAAUGGGGGAAGCCCUGAUGCAGCGACGCCGCGUGAACGAAGAAGGUAUUCGUAACGUAAAGUUCUGUCCUAUGGGAAGAUAAUGACGGUACCAUAGAAGAAAGCUCCGGCUAAAUACGUG